GAGCGGAGGAUGCAAGUGUUAUCCGGAAUCACUGGGCGUAAAGCGUGCGUAGGCGGUUCGUUAAGUCUGCUGGUGAAAAGCCCUGGGCUCAACCUGGGAACUGCAGUGGAUACUGGCGGACUAGAGUGUGAUAGAGGAUGGUGGAAUUCCGGUGUAGCGGUGAAAUGCGUAGAGAUCGGAGGAACACCAGUGGCGAAGGCGGCCAUCUGGAUCAACACUGACGCUGAGGCACGAAAGCGUGGG
rnacentral:rRNA from 1 species